NNNNNNNNNNNNNNNNNNNNNNNNNNNNNNNNNNNNNNNNNNNNNNNNNNNNNNNNNCGCUGGGGGCCCGCAGGCCUGCCUUCCCUGGCCGGGCGUCGGGCGCCGGACCUCGUGUGCCCGCGCCUGUCGGGGGAGGCGAACGGCAGCCCCCGCGCGCGGAUGCCGGUGCGGGGCGCGCGCGGAGAGCGCCUGGAGCCCGUGGUGUCCAGAGGAGCCCCGGGCGCCCCGAAGCCCGCCAGCGCCCGCGGAGGACGUCGCUGCCCCGACAGCCCCAGGGGCACGCGCAGGUCACUCUGCUGGGCCCCGGAGGGCGCCGUGGUGGCACCCGUCGGCGCCUCUCUUGGUUGGGACUCUGCGCGCUCAGCGGCUCGUCCCUUCUGUUUCCGAGGCGUUUGGUGAUCCCAGGGGUCAGGUGGGAGCCGUGAGUCUGAAGGUCACCAGCCCCGCGCGAGGGAAGACCUAGCGCCCGCACGUCUUCCUGAAGGGCGCGGCAGGUCGCGUCGGAGGAGCUGCAGACGCACGCAGGGAGCCGGGCGGGGGGCCAGAGGGCGUGAGGAGGGGCUGCCUGCCUGCCGCGCGCGUCCUGGGCUGGUGCCCCCUGCGUUGGGUCGGGGUUGGGCCGUGAUGUUCUCCGGAGCUGCUGGGGAGAGACCUGGACCACAGACGGGGCAGUUGGGUGAGCAGGAAUUAGGGCUGCUGAGGCCAUUUCCCAGCAUUCCAGGGUCCCCGAGCAGACCGGCUUUCCGCGGCUUGGCCACUCCUCCAGGGAGAGGACAGCGGACAGGGCUCGUGCUGCCUUCCCCGGGGACCUUCCUGUGAUCAUAACGGCCGCUCGCUCUGGGCUUGUCCUGCCCCCAUCCCUGGUCAGCCCUUGUCACCAGCCACAGGUCUGACGUGGGUCAUUCAUCCAGGGUCCCACCUGUCGUCUCGGUGGCUUCUCGUGGUACAGCCCUCCCCAGAGCACAGGGGUCACUGCUUGGAAGAACUUAGGUGUGAGACGAGGACCGGCCGUGAUACUUACAGGUGUUCGGGACGGCCUUCUGUGCUGGGCAGUUCCCCGUUCCAGGCGUCUGCACUCGCCUUUGCUCUGGUCCCGCAGAGGUCCCCACACUCCGUGCCCCACGCUCGGGAGCUGUUCCAGGCGCCAGCGUGACGGAAGAGGACAGGCUCGGGGACUAGUGCCUGACCUGAGUGUUUCUCUCACAGACGUGCCCCUUCUGCCGGACUCCACGGCACUUGGGAGCAGCGUGAGAGGCAGAAAGGGCGGCGGGCUCCCGUCCAGCGCGUCCCGGGAGCCCUGUCUCGGGCGAGUGUUCAGCGCUUGGCUGCAGCCUUCUCUGCCAAGAAGAGCCCGAGGGGAGGCCUUUAGGAUGGACGAGCCCGCACGGCACUUCCGUCUGCUGCCCCAGGGAGCAGAGCCCGGCGGCGCCCACGGCCCCAAAGGGCAAACGGCGGAAACACCCGAAGCGCUCCGAGGCGAGAGGACUGGGGCAGGGGGCGAGCUGGUGCUCCUGCGCCGCGCGUGUGAGGGUUCGGGUUAGCGUGAGACCCUGGGAAGCCACAAUAAAGAGCAGGCGGACCGCACCAGAGGCUGUUCUGUCGUGUGCGCGGAGGACCCUGGGCCGUGGGGACGCGCCGCUCAGGAUGGUCACUUUUUGGAGAAUUUUCAUCUAAAACACCUUACCUGAGCCUGACCGGGGCAGCAGAUGCAGCUGCCGCUUUACAGGCCGUGCCAGAGCCAACGUCCAGCCGCCACGAGGGAAAGAGCCAUGGGUAGGGAAGGCCACUCAGGCGGUUUUUCUGGACUUGGAAGCAAAAAAGGAGGGGCUGCCCUUCUAGAGGCGCCAGCCAGCCGAGGGAGGGUCUGGCUUAGGAACCCAGCGGCAGUGACACUGUGUGGGGCACCUGUCCUUCCGCAGCCCCCCCAGGUCAGAGCCCGAGCCCUCCGGACAGUCCCUGUCCAGCACCCCAGCCCUGCCACCUGAGAAUAAAAUCAGGCGCAAUCCAGGGAUUCCACAGGUCCAGAGCGCUGCCUGCUGGACGCUUGGGGACUGUGCUCCAGGAGCCUGGAG
ensembl:lincRNA